UGAUGCAGACAAGGAGGAUGAUGAGAAAAAGGAGGAUGAGGAGGAAGAGGGAGAGGAGGAGGCGGAGAAGGAGAGGGAGGAUGAGGAGGAGGAAAAGGAGAAGAAGGAGAAUGAGGAGGAGAAGGAGGAUGAGGAAGAAGAGGAGGCUGGCAAACAUGGGUGCUUUCCCUGCAAAUGGAGACCCAAGAUCAGAUCAAGCCAAAAAACACCUGGACUCCUGGGCAGACUCCUGUCAUUAUGGAAGAGGAGGAUUAUGAAGAAGGGCAUGCGUGUGGAUGAUUAAGUCAUCGCAUUUGUUUUAGAAUAAGUUAGAAUAAGUUAGAAUAAGUUAGUAUGUUAAAAAUAAAACUGUUGCGUUGCAUUAAACAAAA